AAAAAAUCCUCUAAAUUCAGAUUUCUUUUCCUCUCUCUCUUUCUCUGGCGAUAUGCUGAAACGACAAAGGAAUUUGGAUCUGUCAUGAGGUAGGGUUUGGAAUCGAAGGAUAUGGAGAUGAGUUCCAGAAAGCGGGUCCAAAGGGUUUCGUUGAAGUGAAGGUUUGGAGAACGACAAGGUCUAUGUCCGUGUCGACUUGCCCGGUGUACUCUCACCGUGCCUCCUUUCACAGGGAGGUGAUCCUUCUCAACAGCGGAAUCAUGCUCUGUAGGUUAGUCAUGGUUUCUAAUUUAUGGAGUUGUCUUUUUCAUUGUGCAACACUUAUGUUUUUAAGCGUAAUCUCUAAAAACAAGGCUCUCCAGCCAAAUGCAUAUCGACAAGUCAAUUAGGUAACUUGGAGAAAUCCACUGAAUUAGAUCUGUCAUGAGCCUUGUUAAGUUCUUUUUGGUGAGCAUGAGAAGAGUUUGAUCUGUUUCUUGGUGGUAAUAUUUGGGAAACUGUCUUGCUCAGCAAUGGAUCAGUCGUUGUAUCCAAAGAAGUCGUUUACUUGAGUCAAGCUGAAAAAAUAUUUGUUUGUUUGGGAAACAAAGGCAAAGGCGCUGGGACUUUGCCACCCUCAUGGAUUCACCUGUAAGAUAUGAUGAUGAUGUGUACGACAGAAUCUGGAUACCUCGCAACUUUGGCUAUUGUAGAGAGAGAUCAAUACCUCACUUCCAGUGAUAUCAGUCAAAAAUAGUUACAAUCUUUCGAGUUUGGUGAUGAGUACAGCGAUGACUCCAACAAACACAACAAGACCCAUCAAAAUGACUUUGGAAAACAGUGAUCCAAAUGUGAGGUACUUUGUUUAUAUGCAUUUCGCUGAGACUGAGGUAAUUCACCUUAAUAUGAAAUGUAUGAAUUGUCUUUGUUGGAUCAAAGCUCAAUGUUGUUUUGGUUGUUUGUUCAUUCAUAACUGAUGAAGUUGAAUGAGAUUAGAUUCAAAAAACUAGAUUUUAAAAAUAAGAGACUCAAAAUUAUAUCCUA